rnacentral:misc_RNA from 1 species
AAGUCAUAACAAGGUUUCCGUAGGUGAACCUGCGGAAGGAUCAUUAACACGUAUCCACGUUAAACCCCCCUGUGCACUUUCGGCAAAAAACCUACUAGUUCUGAUCUUGACCUUAGAGUCGAUCAAUAAUUCGAUAGAAGGCUCUUUGUUGGGAGGCCAUGAAAUGGAGAAUUGAUACGGUAAUACUAUUUCAUUCUCUGUUUCAUAAUGCGUCUUCGGCCGAGGCAUACUUGUCGUGGUCUUACCUUGGAACUAGGGUCCGGAAAUUGACCCACAAGUUCCGUGUACGGCUUUCCAAAAAGUGGUGUGAAAUGAAGCACUGCUGUCAAACUUGACUAAACCCACCAACGCGCAGGCCAAAAGCCGAGCGUCGGAAACCCCGCACAACUGUUCUUGGCUCUC